rnacentral:rRNA from 1 species
AGUGAACGCUGGCGGUAGGCCUAACACAUGCAAGUCGAACGGCAGCACAGUAAGAGCUUGCUCUUACGGGUGGCGAGUGGCGGACGGGUGAGGAAUACAUCGGAAUCUACUUUUUCGUGGGGGAUAACGUAGGGAAACUUACGCUAAUACCGCAUACGACCUACGGGUGAAAGCAGGGGAUCUUCGGACCUUGCGCGAUUGAAUGAGCCGAUGUCGGAUUAGCUAGUUGGCGGGGUAAAGGCCCACCAAGGCGACGAUCCGUAGCUGGUCUGAGAGGAUGAUCAGCCACACUGGAACUGAGACACGGUCCAGACUCCUACGGGAGGCAGCAGUGGGGAAUAUUGGACAAUGGGCGCAAGCCUGAUCCAGCCAUACCGCGUAGGUGAAGAAGGCCUUCGGGUUGUAAAGCCCUUUUGUUGGGAGAGAAAAGCAGCAGGUUAAUACCCCGCUGUUCUGACGGUACCCAAAGAAUAAGCACCGGCUAACUUCGUG